GGGGAUUUAGCUCAGCGGCAUAAGCUCCUGCCCUGCAAGCAGGCAGCCGCGAGUUCAAUCCCCG
rnacentral:tRNA from 1 species